UACGGGGGGGGCAAGCGUUGUUCGGAAUUACUGGGCGUAAAGGGCUCGUAGGCGGCCAACUAAGUCAUACGUGAAAUCCCUCGGCUUAACCGGGGAACUGCGUCUGAUACUGGAUGGCUUGAGAUUGGGAGAGGGAUGCGGAAUUCCAGGUGUAGCGGUGAAAUGCGUAGAUAUCUGAAGGAACACCGGUGGCGAAGGCGAGUCUCUGGACGACUCCUGACACUGAGGCACGAAAGCUAGGGGAGCAAACAGG
rnacentral:rRNA from 1 species